GAUGAACGCUGGCGGCGUGCUUAACACAUGCAAGUAGACAAAAGUGGCGGAUGGGCGAGUAACACGUGAGGAACCUGCCUUUCACAGGGGAAUAACACUGGGAAACCAGUGCUAAUACCGCAUAUGAAAGAUGGCCUCGCGCCUGAUUAGCUAGUUGGUGAGGUAACGGUUCACCAAGGCCACGAUGCAUAGCCGACCGGAGAGGGUGAUCGGCCACACUGGGACUAGGACACGGCCCAGACUCCUACGGGAUGCAGCAGGAGGGAAUCUUCGUCAAUGGACUAAAGUCUGACCGAGCAACGCCGCGUGAGUGAAGAAGGUUUUCGGAUCGUAAAACUCUGUUGUUAGAGAAGCGGUAUCUAACCAGAAAGCCACUGCUAACUACGUGCCAGCCGCCGCGGUAAUUC
rnacentral:rRNA from 1 species